rnacentral:tRNA from 1 species
GCCUGGGUGGCUCAGUCAGUUGAGCAUCCGACUUCGGCUCAGGUGAUUAUCUCCCAGUUCGUGGGUUCGAGCCCCACGUCGGGCU